UACGUAGGGUGCGAGCGUUAAUCGGAAUUACUGGGCGUAAAGCGUGCGCGGGCGGAUUGUUAAGCAAGAUGUGAAAUCCCCGGGCUUAACCUGGAAACUGCGUUUGUGACUGCAAGACUAGAGUACGGCAGAGGGGGGUAGAAUUCCACGUGUAGCAGUGAAAUGCGUAGAUAUGUGGAGGAAUACCGAUGGCGAAGACAGCCCCCUGGGUCGAUACUGACGCUCAUGCACGAAAGCGUGGGGAGCAAACAGG
rnacentral:rRNA from 1 species